rnacentral:lncRNA from 1 species
UGGUAAUCAAUUAUAUUAAAGACCGUUGCCAAAGUAUUUUCAAACAAUGAAAGAUAAUCGAUUAUGUACAAUCAGACAAUCGAUUAUGUUAAGCAUAAAAUCGGGGAUUGAUUUUUGAACGUUGUCAGGUAAUCGAUUAUACGAUUUGGAUAAUCGAUUAUUCUGCUUAUAAUAUGGGAAUGAUUUUUAAACGAUUGGCAGAUAAUCGAUUAUGCAGAAUCAGAUAAUCGAUUAUCCUAGCACAAAAUCAGCAGUUUGUGAUUGGUAAUUAAGCAACGAUUUUGGGUGUUUU